ACGGGUGAGUAACACGUGGGCAACCUGCCCUUGAGACUGGGAUAACUUCGGGAAACCGGAGCUAAUACCGGAUAAUACAAGGAACCUCCUGGUUCCUUGUUGAAAGAUGGUUUCGGCUAUCACUUAAGGAUGGGCCCGCGGCGCAUUAGCUAGUUGGUGAGGUAACGGCUCACCAAGGCGACGAUGCGUAGCCGACCUGAGAGGGUGAUCGGCCACACUGGGACUGAGACACGGCCCAGACUCCUACGGGAGGCAGCAGUAGGGAAUCUUCCACAAUGGACGAAAGUCUGAUGGAGCAACGCCGCGUGAGUGAUGAAGGCCUUCGGGUCGUAAAGCUCUGUUGUUAGGGAAGAACAAGUGCGAGAGUAACUGCUCGCACCUUGACUGUACCUAACCAGAAAGCCACGGCUAACUACGUGCCAGCAGCCGCGGUAAUACGUAGGUGGCAAGCGUUAUCCGGAAUUAUUGGGCGUAAAGCGCGCGCAGGUGGUUUCUUAAGUCUGAUGUGAAAGCCCACGGCUCAACCGUGGAGGGUCAUUGGAAACUGGGGAACUUGAGUGCAGAAGAGGAAAGUGGAAUUCCAAG
rnacentral:rRNA from 1 species